AUACGGAGGGUGCAAGCGUUAAUCGGAAUUACUGGGCGUAAAGCGUACGUAGGCGGCUCGUUAAGUUAGAUGUGAAAGCCCCGGGCUUAACCUGGGAACUGCAUUUAAAACUGGCGGACUAGAGUUGAGUAGAGGGGAGUGGAAUUUCAGGUGUAGCGGUGAAAUGCGUAGAGAUCUGAAGGAACACCAGUGGCGAAGGCGACUCCCUGGACUCGAACUGACGCUGAGGUACGAAAGCGUGGGUAGCAAACGGGAUUAGAAACCCUAGUAGUCC
rnacentral:rRNA from 1 species